UGAGAAGUACACAGGAUGCCACUCACAAGAUGAGCAAUGCACAUGCUGCCUCUCGCAUGAAGACGAGAAGUGCACAAAAUGCCGCUCACAAGAUGAGCAGUGCAUACGCUGCCUCUUGCACGAAAGAUGAGCAGUGCACAUGCUGCCUCUCGCAUGAAGAUGAGAAGUGCACGAGAUGCUGCUCAUAAGAUGAGUAGUGCACAUGCUGCCUCUUACACG
rnacentral:lncRNA from 1 species